AUUGAACGCUGGCGGCAGGCCUAACACAUGCAAGUCGAACGAGUGGCGGACGGGUGAGUAAUGUCUGGGAAACUGCCCGAUGGAGGGGGAUAACUACUGGAAACGGUAGCUAAUACCGCAUACCAUCGGAUGUGCCCAGAUGGGAUUAGCGAGUAGGUGGGGUAACGGCUCACCUAGGCGACGAUCCCUAGCUGGUCUGAGAGGUUGACCAGCCACACUGGAACUGAGACACGGGCCAGAGUCCUACGGAGGGCAGCAGUGGGGAAUAUUGAACAAUGGGCGCAAGACUGAUGCAGCAAUGCCGCGUGUAUGAAGAAGGCGUUCGGGUUGUAAAGUACUUUCAGCGAGGAGGCGUUACUCGCAGAAGAAGCACCGGCUAACUCAGUGCCAGCAGCCGAGGUAAUUC
rnacentral:rRNA from 1 species